AUGCAUAAUCACUCCCUGUGUGCACAAUCACUCCUGCGUGCACACUCACUCCCGUGUGCACACUCACUCCCUGUGUGCACACUCACUCCCGCAUGCACACUCACUCCUGCGUGCACACUCACUCCCUGCGUGCACACUCACUCCCUGCAUGCACACUCACUCCUGUGUGCACACUCACUCCCUGCGUGCACACUCACUCCCGUGUGCACACUCACUCCCAGCAUGCACACUCACUCCCUGCAUGCACAAUCACUCCCUGUGUGCACAAUCACUCCUGCGUGCACACUCACUCCCGUGUGCACACUCACUCCCUGCGUGCACAAUCACUCCCUGUGUGCACAAUCACUCCUGCAUGCACACUCACUCCCGUGUGCACACUCACUCCCUGCGUGCACACUCACUCCCUGUGUGCACACUCACUCCUGCGUGCACACUCACUCCCGCAUGCACACUCACUCCCUGCAUGCACACUCACUCCCGUGUGCACUCACUCCUGCAUGCAUACUCACUCCUGUGUGCACACUCACUCCCUGUGUGCACACUCACUCCUGUGUGCACACACACUCCUGCAUGCACACUCACUCCCGUGUGCACUCACUCCUGCAUGCACACUCACUCCUGCGUGCACACUCACUCCCUGUGUGCACACUCACUCCUGUGGGCACACUCACUCCCUGUGUACACACUCACUCCCUGUGUGCACACUCACUCCCGCAUGCACACACACUCCUGCAUGCACACUCACUCCCUGUGUGCACACUCACUCCCGUGUGCACUCACUCCUGCAUGCACACUCACUCCUGCGUGCACACUCACUCCUGCGUGCACACACACUCCUGCAUGCACACUCACUCCCUGUGUGCACACUCACUCCCUGCGUGCACACUCACUCCCGCAUGCACACUCACUCCUGCGUGCACACUCACUCCCUGUGUGCACACUCCCUGCGUGCACACUCACUCCCUGUGUACACACUCACUCCUGCGUGCACACUCACUCCCUGCAUGCACACUCACUCCCGUGUGCACUCACUCCUGCAUGCACACUCACUCCUGUGUGCACACUCACUCCCUGUGUGCACACUCACUCCUGUGUGCACACACACUCCUGCAUGCACACUCACUCCCGUGUGCACUCACUCCUGCAUGCACACUCACUCCUGCGUGCACACUCACUCCCUGUGUGCACACUCACUCCUGUGGGCACACUCACUCCCUGUGUACACACUCACUCCCUGUGUGCACACUCACUCCCUGUGUACACACUCACUCCCACGUGCACACUCCCUGUGUGCACACUCACUCCCUGCGUGCACACUCACUCCCGUGUGCACACUCACUCCCGCAUGCACACUCACUCCUGCGUGCACACUCACUCCUGUGUGCACACACACCUGAAGCACUGAGGCAUCCACACCACGGGAUCACAAUUGCUGUUUUCUUACCUCGAACCCUUCAGGCUAGAAGCUCCACAAGCGCAGCUCCACAAGCUCCACCUUGUAGCUACUGA
rnacentral:lncRNA from 1 species